AACAAAUUACUUGUACUUUGAGCUGUUCACAAGGUGAUAUGCUUCUUUUUGGAUUUAUGAGGUUCCUGUGUUUCUCAUAACCAUGAGAAGAGAGAAAAGGUUUUGGGGGGGUGGUACAUUGCUAACUUGACGGUACCAUUUGCUUUGUAUCAUUUAUAUAUGAUGAGUUGCCGAAAGAUUGUCUCCCCUCUGAUUAACGUAACUUGUUCUUCACAUGCAGAGUCUUGACUGUAUAAUAUGUCAGCCUUUGGAAGGUACAAAUGCUCAAUACUAGACAUGCAAGCUAGGUUGCUGUUAGACACGCUGGGGAAGGGAGUUAUGUGAAGAUCAAUUUGUUGGAGAUAUGCGAGAUAUGCGAAUAUCAAUUUGGGAUCAUAAUUGAUCUAUAGUAUCGUUUCAAAAAUCAAUAUAGAAUUAGAUUUGAUAUUUUUGAUUUCUUGUAUUCGGUCUUAUUCCUUCUUUAGUUAUAUAUCGAUUGUAUUAUAAAUAGGAGCGUAUUCUUGUAAAGGACGAUUCAUUUAAUACAGAAUACACAUUUCUCCCAA